rnacentral:rRNA from 1 species
AAUCCCUUAACGAGGAACAAUUGGAGGGCAAGUCUGGUGCCAGCAGCCGCGGUAAUUCCAGCUCCAAUAGCGUAUAUUAAAGUUGUUGUGGUUAAAAAGCUCGUAGUCGAACCUUGGGCCUGGCUGGCCGGUCCCCCUCACCGGGUGCACUGAUCCAGCCGGGCCUUUCCCUCUGUGGAACCCCAUGGCCUUCACUGGCUGUGUGGGGGAAACAGGACUUUUACUGUGAAAAAAUUAGAGUGCUCCAGGCAGGCCUAUGCUCGAAUACAUUAGCAUGGAAUAAUAGAAUAGGACGUGUGGUUCUAUUUUGUUGGUUUCUAGGACCGCCGUAAUGAUUAAUAGGGACAGUCGGGGGCAUCAGUAUUCAAUUGUCAGAGGUGAAAUUCUUGGAUCUAUUGAAGACUAACUACUGCGAAAGCAUUUGCCAAGGAUGUUUUCAUUGAUAAGGAACGAAAGUUAGGGGAUCGAAGACGAUCAGAUACCGUCGUAGUCUUAACUAUAAACUAUGCCGACUAGGGAUCGGACGAUGUUAUUUCUUGACGCGUUCGGCACCUUUCGAGAAAUCAAAGUGCUUGGGCUCCAGGGGGAGUAUGGUCGCAAGGCUGAAACUUAAAGAAAUUGACGGAAGGGCACCACCAGGGGUGGAACCUGCGGCUUAAUUUGACCCAACACGGGGAAACUCACCAGGUCCAGACACAGUGAGGAUUGACAGAUUGAGAGCUCUUUCUUGAUUCUGUGGGUGGUGGUGCAUGGCCGUUCUUAGCUGGUGGAGUGAUUUGUCUGCUUAAUUGCGAUAACGAACGAGACCUUAACCUGCUAAAUAGCCCGUACUGCUUUGGCAGUUCGCUGGCUUCUUAGAGGGACUAUCGGCUCAAGCCGAUGGAAGUUUGAGGCAAUAACAGGUCUGUGAUGCCCUUAGAUGUCCUGGGCCGCACGCGCGUUACACUGACAGGGCCAGCGAGUACCUCCUUGGCCGAAAGGCCCGGGUAAUCUUGUUAAACCCUGUCGUGCUGGGGAUAGAGCAUUGCAAUUAUUGCUCUUCAACGAGGAAUCCCUAGUAAGCGCAAGUCAUCAGCUUGCGUUGAUUACGUCCCUGCCCUUUGUACACACCGCCCGUCGCUACUACCGAUUGAAUGGCUCAGUGAGACCUCCGGACUGGCCCAGAGAGGUGGGCAACUGCCACUCAGGGCCGGAAAGCUGUUCAAACUCGGUCAUUUAGAGGAAGUAAAAGUCGUAACAAGGUCUCCGUUGGUGAACCAGCGGAGG